GUGUGACUGCGUACCUUUUGUAUAAUGGGUCAGCGACUUAUAUUCUGUAGCAAGGUUAACCGAAUAGGGGAGCCGAAGGGAAACCGAGUCUUAACUGGGCGUUAAGUUGCAGGGUAUAGACCCGAAACCCGGUGAUCUAGCCAUGGGCAGGUUGAAGGUUGGGUAACACUAACUGGAGGACCGAACCGACUAAUGUUGAAAAAUUAGCGGAUGACUUGUGGCUGGGGGUGAAAGGCCAAUCAAACCGGGAGAUAGCUGGUUCUCCCCGAAAGCUAUUUAGGUAGCGCCUCGUGAAUUCAUCUCCGGGGGUAGAGCACUGUUUCGGCAAGGGGGUCAUCCCGACUUACCAACCCGAUGCAAACUGCGAAUACCGGAGAAUGUUAUCACGGGAGACACACGGCGGGUGCUAACGUCCGUCGUGAAGAGGGAAACAACCCAGACCGCCAGCUAAGGUCCCAAAGUCAUGGUUAAGUGGGAAACGAUGUGGGAAGGCCCAGACAGCCAGGAUGUUGGCUUAGAAGCAGCCAUCAUUUAAAGAAAGCGUAAUAGCUCACUGGUCGAGUCGGCCUGCGCGGAAGAUGUAACGGGGCUAAACCAUGCACCGAAGCUGCGGCAGCGACGCUUAUGCGUUGUUGGGUAGGGGAGCGUUCUGUAAGCCUGUGAAGGUGUNGAAGGUGUGCUGUGAGGCAUGCUGGAGGUAUCAGAAGUGCGAAUGCUGACAUAAGUAACGAUAAAGCGGGUGAAAAGCCCGCUCGCCGGAAGACCAAGGGUUCCUGUCCAACGUUAAUCGGGGCAGGGUGAGUCGACCCCUAAGGCGAGGCCGAAAGGCGUAGUCGAUGGGAAACAGGUUAAUAUUCCUGUACUUGGUGUUACUGCGAAGGGGGGACGGAGAAGGCUAUGUUGGCCGGGCGACGGUUGUCCCGGUUUAAGCGUGUAGGCUGGUUUUCCAGGCAAAUCCGGAAAAUCAAGGCUGAGGCGUGAUGACGAGGCACUACGGUGCUGAAGCAACAAAUGCCCUGCUUCCAGGAAAAGCCUCUAAGCAUCAGGUAACAUCAAAUCGUACCCCAAACCGACACAGGUGGUCAGGUAGAGAAUACCAAGGCGCUUGAGAGAACUCGGGUGAAGGAACUAGGCAAAAUGGUGCCGUAACUUCGGGAGAAGGCACGCUGAUAUGUAGGUGAAGUNAUGGAGCUGAAAUCAGUCGAAGAUACCAGCUGGCUGCAACUGUUUAUUAAAAACACAGCACUGUGCAAACACGAAAGUGGACGUAUACGGUGUGACGCCUGCCCGGUGCCGGAAGGUUAAUUGAUGGGGUUAGCGCAAGCGAAGCUCUUGAUCGAAGCCCCGGUAAACGGCGGCCGUAACUAUAACGGUCCUAAGGUAGCGAAAUUCCUUGUCGGGUAAGUUCCGACCUGCACGAAUGGCGUAAUGAUGGCCAGGCUGUCUCCACCCGAGACUCAGUGAAAUUGAACUCGCUGUGAAGAUGCAGUGUACCCGCGGCAAGACGGAAAGACCCCGUGAACCUUUACUAUAGCUUGACACUGAACAUUGAGCCUUGAUGUGUAGGAUAGGUGGGAGGCUUUGAAGUGUGGACGCCAGUCUGCAUGGAGCCGACCUUGAAAUACCACCCUUUAAUGUUUGAUGUUCUAACGUUGACCCGUAAUCCGGGUUGCGGACAGUGUCUGGUGGGUAGUUUGACUGGGGCGGUCUCCUCCUAAAGAGUAACGGAGGAGCACGAAGGUUGGCUAAUCCUGGUCGGACAUCAGGAGGUUAGUGCAAUGGCAUAAGCCAGCUUGACUGCGAGCGUGACGGCGCGAGCAGGUGCGAAAGCAGGUCAUAGUGAUCCGGUGGUUCUGAAUGGAAGGGCCAUCGCUCAACGGAUAAAAGGUACUCCGGGGAUAACAGGCUGAUACCGCCCAAGAGUUCAUAUCGACGGCGGUGUUUGGCACCUCGAUGUCGGCUCAUCACAUCCUGGGGCUGAAGUAGGUCCCAAGGGUAUGGCUGUUCGCCAUUUAAAGUGGUACGCGAGCUGGGUUUAGAACGUCGUGAGACAGUUCGGUCCCUAUCUGCCGUGGGCGCUGGAGAACUGAGGGGGGCUGCUCCUAGUACGAGAGGACCGGAGUGGACGCAUCACUGGUGUUCGGGUUGUCAUGCCAAUGGCACUGCCCGGUAGCUAAAUGCGGAAGAGAUAAGUGCUGAAAGCAUCUAAGCACGAAACUUGCCCCGAGAUGAGUUCUCCCUGA
rnacentral:rRNA from 1 species